GACGAACGCUGGCGGCGUGCUUAACACAUGCAAGUCGAACGGAAAGGCCCUGCUUUUGUGGGGUGCUCGAGUGGCGAACGGGUGAGUAACACGUGAGUAACCUGCCCUUGACUUUGGGAUAACUUCAGGAAACUGGGGCUAAUACCGCAUAUGAGCUCCUGCUGCAUGGUGGGGGUUGGAAAGUUUCGGCGGUUGGGGAUGGACUCGCGGCUUAUCAGCUUGUUGGUGGGGUAGUGGCUUACCAAGGCUUUGACGGGUAGCCGGCCUGUGAGGGUGACCGGCAACAUUGGGACUGAGAAACGGCCCAGACUGCUACGGGAGGCAGCAGUGGGGAAUAUUGCACAAUGGGCGGAAGCCUGAUGCAGCAACGCAGCGUGCGGGAUGACGGCCUUCGGGUUGUAAACCGCUUUCGCAUGUGACGAAGCGUGAGUGACGGUAAUGGGUAAAGAAGCACCGGCUAACUACGUG
rnacentral:rRNA from 1 species